rnacentral:tRNA from 1 species
GCGAGAGUGGCUCAGUUGGUAGAGCAUCUCCUUGCCAAGGAGAAGGUCGCGGGUUCGAACCCCGUCUCUCGCUCCA